GGGAGCAAUCCUGUAUGUUACAAUGAUAGCAUUUUUUGAAAAUCUAGGAAAUCAAAAAUUCUCCAGGCUCUCCAUCUUGGUUUAUGCUUGAGUUGUUAUGUGCCAUAUUUGCUUUGAAAUCUUUGAUUAUCUGUAGUUUUACUAAAAUUUUGAAGAAAUAAUCCACUGUUGUCUGCUUUCUGGAUUUCUUAAUCUUCCUUCAUAAGACAGAGCUUAUGCAGCAAGCUUAUAAAGUACUACUUUCUUAAAGAAAUAGGAGGCAUUCCCAUCUUUAUUACUGUACUUUUGGUUAUGCAAACACUUUGGAGAUAUAAAUGUUUAUGUCCCCCAUAAAUCUGGUCAGAAAUCAUUUUUGAUUUUGUUGAUUAAGUUAAACAGUAGGAUAGAGUACUGGGUAUAAGUGGUCCAAAGUAAGAUAAAAGACUACGCUAAAAAUGCUAGAUCUUGAAGAAGAAACUGGUUUAUGCACUAAACGUUUUGUGCCUUGGUCUAAAUAUUAACAUGUCUAUGUAAAAUGACAAAAAGAACCAGUGUUGAAUCACAUUUUAUUUCCUGUCAUUCUGCUUUAUCCCAGACUGCUAAAUGUGUUCUUUCCAAGAAGUUUGAUUGAAUUACUGUACACAUUUACUGUCCUGUGUGACAGUUUUGUCAUUGUUAGAGAUUUCAGUAAUUAAAACAGGAAACAGAAGCUUAGGUUAUUUUCCUUAUCAAAACUAUGUUCCUUGGAGCCACGUUAUUAUGAUGGUUUUCGUGCUCUUGUACAUUGGAUGUCUUAAGCUGAGUGCAGUUUAGGGGAUCCUUUCUAAUUACAGGAAGGUACUUCUUUCCUUUAACACUGUGAUCUGACCUGUGACAAAUCUGUACUACACACUAUGUAAAUGGCUAACAAGUCAACUGCAAACCAACUGAAUGUACAACCUUAGUGCUGGUGCUGAAGUCUCUUCAGAAUAGUCAUCAUGAUCUCAAAGUUUGUUUCAGAAUUUGCAAGCAUCAAGUGUCAAUCAGAACUGAAGAUGAAACACUAAUGAAUGUUGAAUCCUCAUGCUCUAGGUGUACUUCCUUUGUAGAAUUUUUGUUUCUCUGCUAUUUUUACCAUACUGUUCCAUUUAAAUUUCCUACACGCUAACUUCGUUUGUG
ensembl:lncRNA